rnacentral:rRNA from 1 species
GAUGAACGCUAGCGGCAGGCUUAACACAUGCAAGUCGAGGGGCAGCAUAAUGGAUAGCAAUAUCUAUGGUGGCGACCGGCGCACGGGUGCGUAAAGCGUAUGCAACCUACCUUUAACAGGGGGAUAACACUGAGAAAUUGGUACUAAUACCCCAUAAUAUCAUAGAAGGCAUCUUUUAUGGUUGAAAAUUCCGAUGGUUAGAGAUGGGCAUGCGUUGUAUUAGCUAGUUGGUGGGGUAACGGCUCACCAAGGCGACGAUACAUAGGGGGACUGAGAGGUUAACCCCCCACACUGGUACUGAGACACGGACCAGACUCCUACGGGAGGCAGCAGUGAGGAAUAUUGGUCAAUGGACGCAAGUCUGAACCAGCCAUGCCGCGUGCAGGAUGACGGCUCUAUGAGUUGUAAACUGCUUUUGUACGAGGGUAAACGCAGAUACGUGUAUCUGUCUGAAAGUAUCGUACGAAUAAGGAUCGGCUAACUCCGUG